GGGGGGUGCGUGUUUUGUACUCGUGUGCCACAGUUGGAAUCCAGCGGGAAGGCAGCCGUCCUUCCCCCCUACUUCUACUAGGCCUCAUUUUACCGCUGCGCUUCCCGGUCAAGUCAGGCUUCAGGUUAGGUACCGGCAUGUUCGUGGUUGCUUCCCCCAGCUCACAGGCAGGUUUGUGGGGAAAUCGCAGCAGUUAAUCUUCAGAUUUCUGUAGAAUUUGGGCCUACACUGCAGGAGCUCAUGCAAUGUGCGUCUAGUUAGCUUGCCUG